AUUUUGUAUUUGAGUGAGUCACUUCCAUAGAGCACAAAGAUAUAUGAUGCUUGGUGAACAACAUGUUCUCUUGCUCGCUAGGUGUUCGACAAAACGCCAAAAAGAGAUUUAGUUUCAUGGAAGGUGAUAAAUUUGAGUAUAUUAUUUUGAUAGUUGACACUUUCCAGUUUUUCACUGGUUUUGUUAGUGAUAAAUUUCACUGGUACAAAGGGGAACCAGUUUUACCAAGGCUGAUGAUGAUGACAUUAUGAGUUGAGAUGCACCCUCUUGCUUUGAAAGUGAUUGAUUCAAGAGACAAAAGUGAUAUAACUAUAUAAAUAAGUAUAAUGGUGCUUUAUUAUUAAUUUUUAACUUUCAUCUCAUAGUGAUUAACUUUCUUUACUGUUUUUUUGGUUUAUUAGUUUUGCAAAAAGUUUCACAAGUUCUUUUUGAUGUCGUUGAAGGUUAACACAACCGACCCCAAGAAAUAUUAUGUCCAUCCAAGCACUGGAAUUGUCUUACCAUGAUUUCUUUGAAAUAUCACAGAUUUCUUUGUCUACUAUGUUACAUAGUUUCAUUGCCUACCUCCACCGGUGGAUACGGGUACCAUUUAUUUCAAAAAGUUACCCGAGGGUGAACCAUGUAGCAACUAGCAAUGGUGAUGAACCCAAGAAACCACUAGAGGGAAAGGCCAUGGAGAAUUGAAACCGCCAAGAGUUCUCGAGGUUUUUCAUAUAUUUCAAGAGGCUUCUUAUCAAUACAUACACUGAUGGGAUCACUCACUUAAAAAAGAGGGAUCGUUUCAAUUGCACCAAACCAUGAGAGCUACUAUGGGGCCAACCAGCCCAACCCUUCUGAACCUGUGCAGAAUUCUUGCUUGAAGGGAUAAAUGGACUUCUUUCGGACACCAGGUUUCAGAUAUGGCAUUCAGGUUUGCAGGAAUUGUGAUUGAAGGUCGUUGUUUCAAACGGAGAUAGUUUGUUUGUUCAAGCCCACCUAAAGGUGAUUCAUUGAUGGACAGACCACCUAUUUUUGAAAAACUUCCACGACUUCAAGGCUCGAUAUUGAAGAUUUCAUGCAGAAAAAGGUUUUCUUGGAGAUAUCGCUUCUAGCAUAUAUUUGGUGAUUUGGAUGAUAAUGGCACACGCUUUUUAAGUUUCUAAGGAUACAAAAAGAUUCUGAAUCGUACAUGGUACUGA